rnacentral:rRNA from 1 species
UGGGGAAUCUUGGACAAUGGGCGCAAGCCUGAUCCAGCCAUGCCGCGUGAGUGAAGAAGGCCCUAGGGUUGUAAAGCUCUUUCGGCGGGGACGAUAAUGACGGUACCCGCAGAAGAAGCCCCGGCUAACUCCGUGCCAGCAGCCGCGGUAAUACGGAGGGGGCUAGCGUUGUUCGGAAUUACUGGGCGUAAAGCGCACGUAGGCGGGUCGUUAAGUCGGGGGUGAAAUCCUGGGGCUCAACCUCAGAACUGCCUUCGAUACUGGCGACCUUGAGUACGGGAGAGGUGAGUGGAAUUCCCAGUGUAGAGGUGAAAUUCGUAGAUAUUGGGAAGAACACCAGUGGCGAAGGCGGCUCACUGGCCCGUAACUGACGCUGAGGCGCGAAAGCGUGGGGAGCAAACA